GAUGAAGAACGUAGCGAAAUGCGAUACGUAAUGUGAAUUGCAGAAUUCAGUGAAUCAUCGAGUCUUUGAACGCACAUUGCGCCCCCUGGUAUUCCGGGGGGCAUGCCUGUCCGAGCGUCAUUGCUGCCCUCAAGCCCGGCUUGUGUGUUGGGUCUCGUCCCCCUUCCCGGGGGGACGGGCCCGAAAGGCAGCGGCGGCACCGCGUCCGGUCCUCGAGCGUAUGGGGCUUUGUCACCCGCUCUGUAGGCCCGGCCGGCGCUUGCCGAUCAACCAAAACUUUUUUCCAGGUUGACCUCGUAUCAGGUAGGGAUACCCGCUGAACUUAAGCAUAUCAAUAAGCGGAGGA
rnacentral:misc_RNA from 1 species